AUUCCAGCUCCAAUAGCGUAUAUUAAAGUUGUUGCAGUUAAAAAGCUCGUAGUUGGAUUUCUGGCUGGAGCGAUCGGUCCGCCCCGCAAGGGGUGUGUACUAGCGUCGUCUCCGACCAUCCUUGUGGGAACUGUGCGGCCGUUAACUCGGUUGUAUAUGGGAACACAUCGUUUACUGUGAAAAAAUUAGAGUGUUUAAAGCAGGCUUAAGCCGUUGAAUACAUUAGCAUGGAAUAAUAAGAUAAGACUUGGGUCAUUAUUUUGUUGGUUUGCGGAUCGAGGUAAUGAUUAAUAGGGAUAGUUGGGGGUAUUCAUAUUUAAUUGUCAGAGGUGGAAUUCUUGGAUUUAUGAAAGAUGAACUUAGGCGAAAGCAUUUACCAAGGAUGUUUUCAUCA
rnacentral:rRNA from 1 species